UGGCUCAGAACGAACGCUGGCGGCGCGUUUAAGCAUGCAAGUCGAGCGGCAAGGGCCUCGGGCCCCUAGAGCGGCGGACGGGUGAGUAACACGUGGACAAUCUGCCCCCCGGUCGGGGAUAGCCCAUGGAAACAUGGGGGUAAUACCGGAUGCGACCGGCCGCGCACAAGCGCGGGCGAGGAAGGCGCCAAGGCGCCGCCGGGGGAUGAGUCCGCGGUCCAUUAGCUAGUUGGCGGGGUAACGGCCCACCAAGGCGACGAUGGAUAGCCGGCCUGAGAGGGCGAUCGGCCACAUUGGGACUGAGACACGGCCCAGACUCCUACGGGAGGCAGCAGCUAAGAAUCUUCCGCAAUGGACGCAAGUCUGACGGAGCGAACCGCCGCGUGAACGAAGAAGGCCUUCGGGUUGUAAAGCUCUGUUGUAAGGGACGAAUGUCUAGGGUAGUAACUGACCUUAGAAUGACGGUACCUUACCAGCAAGCCCCGGCUAACUACGUGCCAGCCGCCGC
rnacentral:rRNA from 1 species